UGAACGCUGGCGGCGUGCCUAAUACAUGCACGUCGAGCGAACGGACGAGAAGCUUGCUUCUCUGAUGUUAGCGGCGGACGGGUGAGUAACACGUGGAUAACCUACCUAUAAGACUGGGAUAACUUCGGGAAACCGGAGCUAAUACCGGAUAAUAUUUUGAACCGCAUGGUUCAAAAGUAAAAGACGGUCUUGCUGUCACUUAUAGAUGGAUCCGCGCUGCAUUAGCUAGUUGGUAAGGUAACGGCUUACCAAGGCAACGAUGCAUAGCCGACCUGAGAGGGUGAUCGGCCACACUGGAACUGAGACACGGUCCAGACUCCUACGGGAGGCAGCAGUAGGGAAUCUUCCGCAAUGGGCGAAAGCCUGACGGAGCAACGCCGCGUGAGUGAUGAAGGUCUUCGGAUCGUAAAACUCUGUUAUUAGGGAAGAACAUAUGUGUAAGUAACUGUGCACAUCUUGACGGUACCUAAUCAGAAAGCCACGGCUAACUACGUG
rnacentral:rRNA from 1 species